rnacentral:rRNA from 1 species
GACGAACGCUGGCGGCGUGCUUAACACAUGCAAGUCGAACGGAAAGGCCCUGCUUGCAGGGUACUCGAGUGGCGCACGGGUGAGUAACACGUGGGUGAUCUGCCCUGCACUUCGGGAUAAGCCUGGGAAACUGGGUCUAAUACCGGAUAGGAGCCAUUUUUCGUGUGAUGGUUGGAAAGUUUUUUCGGUGUAGGAUGAGCUCGCGGCCUAUCAGCUUGUUGGUGGGGUAAUGGCCUACCAAGGCGGCGACGGGUAGCCGGCCUGAGAGGGUGGACGGCCAAAUUGGGACUGGGAUACGGCCCAGACUCCUACGGGAGGCAGCAGGGGGGAAUAUUGCACAAUGGGCGCAAGCCUGAUGCAGCGACGCCGCGGGGGGGAUGACGGCCUUCGGGUUGGAAACUCCUUUCGCUAGGGACGAAGCUUUUUGUGACGGUACCUAGAUAAGAAGCACCGGCUAACUACGUG